rnacentral:misc_RNA from 1 species
GAUGAAGAACGCAGCGAAAUGCGAUAAGUAGUGUGAAUUGCAGAAUUCAGUGAAUCAUCGAAUCUUUGAACGCACAUUGCGCCCCUUGGUAUCCCGAGGGGCAUGCCUGUUCGAGCGUCAUUUCAACCCUCAUGCCCCUAGGGCGUGGUGUUGGGGAUCGGCCAAAGCCCGCGAGGGACGGCCGGCCCCUAAAUCUAGUGGCGGACCCGUCGUGGCCUCCUCUGCGAAGUAGUGAUAUUCCGCAUCGGAGAGCGAUGAGCCCCUGCCGUUAAACCCCCAACUUUCCAAGGUUGACCUCAGAUCAGGUAGGAAUACCCGCUGAACUUAAGCAUAUCAAUAAGCGGAGA